AAAAAUAUAUAACCGGGAGUUCGUUUUUCGUUCUCCCGGGGAUUAUUUGUAUUCAAAUUCCACUCUUUAUAAAUAUAAUAACAAUUAUAAAACAAAAUAAAAAUUGA
rnacentral:misc_RNA from 1 species